CUAAAAAAGCAAACAGUAGGGUAAGAAAUAAAAAUAUACGUGUCUGCCUGAACUCAAGCCUUUGUGGUCUAAUUUGCAUACCUCAGGAUUUAUAGCAGUUCCAUGGUACUGAGCAGAAGCAGAACUGAGAUCUAAAUCAUCCUACAAGCUUCAAGAAAGAAGUGGCCUGUUAGACACACAAAUAAUCAGCCAAAACCAGACAUGGGCCGUUACUGGGAAGAAAACGGGACUCUCAUGAGUUACCUUCUACACUCCCCAAGGAUAACGGAGACUGAAAUUGGAUAGUCUGAAGUGAACGUGUCCUGUAUUAAGAUUACAGCUCCUUGCAUUAAACAGCUCCACAAAUGGUUACAGUCCUUCAGGUUUGGAUGGAAACUCACAAAAGCAAGAACAUAUAGUCAAGAGUGAAAAACUACUGCAUUGUGUGUAACAAACAAAGUCACUGUUGUUGUUUCUUCACAAUGCAACCAGUUAAGGCCAUUGGUGGUAGCCAUAUUGUUCAAAUUAAAUGGUUUAUUUUUUUUCCUAGUUUUGAUUGCAGUUAAAUUAAUCUUUCUUAUCUGAAACGCUGAGAUUUGCUAAAUUCUGUAAUUGGAGUAAGAAUACUGUACACCAGGACCUUCUAACCAGCCAAAAAGAUUCCAAACUUUCUGCCCUACUACUAUCUAGGAGGGAACAGAACACCAUAAGAGCUCAUAUGACCAUGGGACCUCUCACCCAUGGAGAGUUAGUGGGUGAUAAUAUAAUACCUGUUAGGUCAACUGGCCCAUCCCACUUCCUCUGUGUAUUUUUUUUCCUAGAGUUUUGUUCUAAUUUAAAACUUUCAAAGCAAUGGGGCUUUUACUACUUCCUUUGGGAGAUUAUAUCACAGGCUCAUCUUUACUGACAAAAAGGGUGUGUUUUUACUGCUCAGUAACUAAUAUGGAUUAGCUAUCCAGCUAUAAAAUUCUAGUGGAGACAAGGCACUUUCAUUUCACUGCAAGAUAAACUACGCGUGGUCAACCCCAGAUGAGGAUAUAGUGCUGACCUCACCUGAUUACUUUGCAGAAACAACUGCAGGUGCCUUGUCUCCAGUUAAGAUUAACAAAUGCACAAUAGUUAAAAACACCUUUUUAAGCAGCGAAGACAAAGCUAAGAGCUCUCUCGGUUAGGGAAUGUGACCUGAUGGCAGCCUAAGUAGCCUUGCACAGAUAUAGUCCUUGUAUCCCCCUAAGUAUUUCCUCUCUUCUUUGCUGUUCACGCCCUUCAAAACCUUGUGGGUGGCCUUCCUGUUCUGUGCCUCCAUUGUAUAUAGGUCAUUACUCUGCUUCCAUGGAGCCUCCCUAUGUCCUUUCUGAAAUGGGAAGAUUCAUUAGCCACUUGCCAGUGUUCUGGCAUUACCCGCCUCCGUAGUAAGCUUUCAAUCUCCUUUGCUAGUGGCUUUCUUCACUCUUUGCUAUUCCCCUUUCAGAACCAAUAUU